CAGCAGCCACGGUAAUACAGAGGGUGCAAGCGUUAAUCGGAAUUACUGGGCGUAAAGCGCGCGUAGGUGGUUUGUUAAGUUGGAUGUGAAAUCCCCGGGCUCAACCUGGGAACUGCAUCCAAAACUGGCAAGCUAGAGUAUGGUAGAGGGUGGUGGAAUUUCCUGUGUAGCGGUGAAAUGCGUAGAUAUAGGAAGGAACACCAGUGGCGAAGGCGACCACCUGGACUGAUACUGACACUGAGGUGCGAAAGCGUGGGGAGCAAACAGGAUUAGAUACCCGCGUAGUCCCUGUCUCUUAUAC
rnacentral:rRNA from 1 species